rnacentral:rRNA from 1 species
GACGAACGCUGGCGGCGUGCUUAACACAUGCAAGUCGAACGGAAAGGCCCUGCUUUUGUGGGGUGCUCGAGUGGCGAACGGGUGAGUAACACGUGAGUAACCUGCCCUUGACUUUGGGAUAACUUCAGGAAACUGGGGCUAAUACCGGAUAGGAGCUCCUGCUGCAUGGUGGGGGUUGGAAAGUUUCGGCGGUUGGGGAUGGACUCGCGGCUUAUCAGCUUGUUGGUGGGGUAGUGGCUUACCAAGGCUUCGACGGGUAGCCGGCCUGAGAGGGUGACCGGCGACAUUGGGACUGAGAUACGGCCCAGACUCCUACGGGAGGCAGCGGUGGGGAAUAUUGCACAAUGAGCGGAAGCCUGAGGCAGCAACGCCGAGUGCGGGAUGACGGCCUUCGGGUUGGAAACCGCUUUCGCCUGUGACGAAGCGGGAGUGACGGUAAUGGGUAAAGAAGCACCGGCUAACUACGUG